rnacentral:lncRNA from 10 species
GUAGAGACGGGGUUUCACCAUGUUGGCCAGGCUAGUCUUGAACUCCUGACCUCAGAUGAUCCACCCGCCUCGGCCUCCCACAGUGCUGGGAGUACAGGUGUGAGCCACUGUGCCUGGCCCCUCUAUUUUUUUUUUUUUUUUUGGGUAGCACUACCUUUUAAAUAAGUCAGAUUCCAAAGCUUGUGCCUAUUCUGUGAUGCCUAUGUGAGGCUGAGAGAAGGCAAUGCACACAACGAAGUUGGGGUAGAGGUGGAGCUAGUUGCUGCAGAAGUGGUCCUCGAGCUGGGAUCUAAAGCAUGGAAGGGUAUUUCCAACAGAGGAAAUGGCAGGAGCUGCUUCACCAAGCUGCUCUGGGUCUAACACCCUGCAAGCGUAAAAGGAGCCAGUCCUGGGACAAGAAGAAUCAGACAACGCUGGUGUGAAAUAGGAGAGAAGCACAGAGAUCCUGAAUUCCAGCAAGACAGCUGACCUCAAAUAGUCUGAAGACCCACUGACCCCUACAGAGGAAUGGAAUCAGCAUGAGAAUACAGUUUCUUCAUCUCCCUGUUCCAUGACUUUGCCCUGUGCCCUUUGAGCAAUCAAGGAUCUCCACACUUUGGCUGAUUCCCAAACCCCUGAAAACCCUAGCCCCAAACUCUGUGGAGACGGAUUUGAGGUUUCCUCCCAUCUCCUGGUUCAGCAUCCCUAGAAAUAAACCUCUUUCACUGCUGC